rnacentral:rRNA from 1 species
CACGUAGGCGGGCUCAUAAGUUAGCUGUGAAAUCCCAGGGCUCAACCUUGGAAUGGCAGUUAAAACUGUGAGUCUUGAAUGUCUGAGAGGAUGGCGGAAUUCCGGGUGUAGAAGUGGAAUUCGUAGAUAUCCGGAGGAACACCAGAGGCGAAGGCGGCUAUCUGGCAGAACAUUGACGCUGAGGUGCGAAAGCGUGGGGAGCAAACA